AACCUGGUUGAUCCUGCCAGUAGUUAUAUGCUCGUCUCAAGGAUUAAGCCAUGCAUGUCUCAGUAUAAGUAUUUGACUGCGAAUCUGUGAAUGGCUCAUUAAAACAGUUAUCGUUCCUUUGGUGGUAUCAUAGUAGUUGGAUAGCUAUGGAAAUUCUAGAGCUAAUACGUGCUUAGCAUCCCGACUUAUUGGAGGGCUGGAUCUAUUAGAUACCGAACCGAUCCGGGUACGCCUGUCUUUCAGUCGAUUCAUAAUAUUUUUUCGAAUCGUUCUAUUGUGCGAUACGCUUUUUAAGUUUCUGACCUAUCAGUUUCCGUCGAUAGGGUACUGGCCUACCGUGGCUUUGACGGGUAACGGAGAAUUAGGGUUUGAUUCCGGAGAGGGAGCAUGAGAAAUGGCUACCACAUCUAAGGAAGGCAGCAGGCGCGUAAAUUACCCAAUCCCAAUCAAGGGAGGUAGUGACAAGAAGUACCAAUAUAAGGCGUAUUCGCUUUAUAAUUGGGAUGAGCACAUCCUAAAUUACCUUGCGAGUAUCAAUUGGAGGGCAAGUCUGGUGCCAGCAGCCGCGGUAAUUCCAGCUCCAAUAGCGUAUAUUAAAUCUGCUGCGGGUUAAAACGCUCGUAGUUGGAUGUCUGUUUCGGAAAACUCAGGUCCACCCAAGUGGUGUGUAUCUGAAUCAACCGUGACAAGAAACUCGCGAACAUGCAUGCACUUAAUUGUGCGGCGAGAUCUCGAGAACGCUUACUUUGAGGAAAUGAGAGUGCUCCAAGCAGGCUAUGGCCUUGCAUACGUUAGCAUGGAAUAAUAGGACAAGACGUUGUUCCGAAGUGGUUAGUUUUCGGUCCGAUGUAGUACUAAUAGAAGUAGUUGAGGGCAUUCGUAUUUAAUUGCUAGAGGUGAAAUUCUUGGAUUUUUUAAAGACGAGCUACUGCGAACGCAUCUGCCCAGGAUGUUCUUCUUGAUCAAGAACGAAAGUUAGGGGAUCGAAGACGAUCAGAUACCGUCCUAGUCUUAACCAUAAACCAUGCCGACUAGAAAUUGGGGUUGUCAGAGUCUUGACGUCUUCAGCAACUUAGGAGAAAUCAAAGUCUUUGGGUUCCGGGGGGAGUAUGGUCGCAAGACUGAAACUUAAAGGAAUUGACGGAAGGGCACCACCAGGAGUGGAGCCUGCGGCUUAAUUUUGACUCAACACGGGGAAACUUACCAGGUCAAAGACAUAGAGGGGAUUGACAGACUGACAGCUCUUUCUUGAUUUUAUGGGUGGUGGUGCAUGGCCGUUCUUAGUUGGUGGAGUGAUUUGUCUGGUUAAUUCCGUUAACGAACGAGACCUUCACAUACUAACUAGUGUCCAGAACUUUAUGUUUCAGGGAACUUCUUAGAUGGACUUCGUGUGUUUAGCACGAGGAGGUGGGAGGCGAUAGCAGGUCUGUGAUGCCCUUAGAUGUCCUGGGCUGCACGCGCGCUACACUGAUGCGUCCAUCUAGAGCCUCACCUACUCAGGAGUGAGCGGGUAACCUUUUCGAAGCGCAUCGUGAUGGGGAUAGACUAUUGCAAUUAUUAAUCUUGAACGAGGAAUUCCUAGUACGCACAAGUCAUCACCUUGUUCUGAUUACGUCCCUGCCCUUUGUACACACCGCCCGUCGCUCCUACCGAUCGAGUAUUCCGGUAAAUAAUUUGGAGUGCAGCAACGUUCAGAAAUGGAUCCCGCUGCGUGAAGAUUCGUAAACCUCAUUACUUAGAGGAAGGAGAAGUCGUAACAAGGUUUCCGUAGGUGAACCUGCAGAAGGAUC
rnacentral:rRNA from 1 species